rnacentral:rRNA from 2 species
AGGUAUAUGUCUUCUAAAGCUAAAUACCGGCCAGAGACCGAUAGCGCACAAGUAGAGUGAUCGAAAGAUGAAAAGCACUUUGAAAAGAGAGUUAAAAAGUACGUGAAAUUGUUGAAAGGGAAGCGUUUAUGACCAGACUUGGGCUUGGUUAAUCAUCUGGGGUUCUCCCCAGUGCACUUUUCCAGUCCAGGCCAGCAUCAGUUUUCCCCGGGGGAUAAAGACUUCGGGAAUGUGGCUCUCUUCGGGGAGUGUUAUAGCCCGUUGUGUAAUACCCUGGGGGGGACUGAGGUUCGCGCAUCUGCAAGGAUGCUGGCGUAAUGGUCAU